rnacentral:miRNA from 1 species
UAGCAGCACAUCAUGAUUUGUG